CCAAAACAACUUGAUAAACAUAUAGACAUAGUGGGAGAAAGGAUAGCUGAAGAGGAACCUGAAUGGGUCUCUGGAAUUGGUUCUCGAGAACAGGACCUUCGGGUUUUGGGCAGAAUUCUACAGCUGAAGAGGUCACUGAAGGAAUUGACGCCAGCCAUCUCACGGCAAUUGUAACUGGUUCAACAAGUGGCAUUGGAAAAGAGACAGCACGAGUUCUUGCUCUACGAGGGGCUAAAGUGAUCAUACCGGCUCGAUCACUAGAAAGUGGCAUCAAAGUGAAAGAAAGCCUUCUUGAGCAGAACCCAGAUGCAAAACUCCAAGUGAUGGAGAUGGAUGUCAGCUCCUUAGAAUCAGUCCGCUCUUUUGCUCAAUCCUUCAAUUCAUCAAACAAGCACCUAAACAUUCUCAUCAAUAAUGCAGGAAUAAUGGCCUGUCCGUUCCAGUUAUCCAAGGAUGGAAUUGAGUUGCAGUUUGCAACAAACCACCUCGGGCACUUCUUGCUGACAAAUCUCCUACUUGAAAAGAUUAAAGCCACUGCCAAAGAAACAGGAAUACAGGGAAGAAUUGUCAAUGUAUCCUCCGUAGCUCAUCGGAGAAGUGACUCAUCCUGGUUUGAUCUGAAUGUGAUAAACGACGAAUCAAAGUACAAACCUUUCAAUGCAUAUUCACGCUCAAAAUUAGCAAACAUACUCCAUUCCAAUGAGCUAUCAAGGUGUUUAAAGGAAAAAGGAUCUAAUGUUACGGCCAACUCUCUUCACCCAGGAGUAAUCAUGACUAACAUCAGUCGCAGCCUGGAUCUCAAUAGUGUAGUUAUGUCGCUUGCUACUCUGGUAAAACCAUUUCUAAAAAGUAUACCACAAGGAGCUGCAACAACUUGCUAUGUAGCACUCAGUCCGCAGAUAAAAGAUGUAAGUGGAAAGUACUUUGCUGACUGCAAUGAGGCAUCCCCUUCCAAGGAAGGGGAAGAUGAAGUCUUAGGUAAAAGGCUAUGGGAAUUUUGCCAACAGAUUCUUAAAAAGAGCAAGGCAGAGAAGUAACAAGACCUUCUUCAACUGACUUCACUCCUCAGUACAGUUCUUGUCAAAGUCAAAAUCAACAAGUAAUCUGCUAGUAAUGUACUAUUGGAAAGCAUGCAUUUUGCUAGCUAAUCCAUUCCAGCUCGUUCAUGGAAAGGAAAGAUCCUGCCACUUCAAUGUUAAUUGAGCUUGAUCAAUCCUGCAUGUAAUUUUUAAGGUAUGGUUAACAGACCAUAUGGCAAGAUUAUUUUAAAAAGUCGGGAUGAAGUUAUGCAUUGUCAGAUUUUAAAUCA